AAACAAAUUUUUUUUUUUUUUUAAUAGACUUUCUUUUUCUUCUUCUUCCGAACCCUGCGUCCUCUUUGUGAGCAGAUCCACGUUAAGAAAAAACAGAAAAAAGAAGAAAGAAACCAAACAACAGAGAACAAUCAGUAGAAUUUCGCCAUAGAAAGAGAAAGAGAACGAGAAAGAGAAAGAGAGAGACAGAGAUGGGGAGAUUUAUUCAUGCUGUGUUGUUGCUUUUCUUCUUGAUCGAGAAAGUGCAGGAUUCUAGGGCUUGGGAGGCGGCGGCGGAUGCCAUUUUGGUUUCCCUGUUGAUCGCCUUGUUUCUGGAAAGAUAAAGCGCUUUAUUUGGGUUUUAAAGCAGCGAUUUCAGUAUGAACUGUGAAGUGCUGGAGUUGAGAGAGAGAGAGAGAGAGAGGGCGAAGUGGAGUGGGAGACGAAUAAAGGCAAAUGCGGGCUUGCCUUUAUGGUUACGGCAAGAUUGAAAUGCUGCAAAAGCCGCAACUCUCUUCUCUCCCGUUGUGCUUCUCCCUCACUUCCCUCUGUCCCGCUGCAAUCUGCUCCGUCGCCAUUCUCAACCUACUCUCCCUUUGCAAGCUUUCUGAAAUCUUUCUCAAUCUUUAUUCCCUAACCCUAACCAAGGGGAAGGGGCAGGGAGAUUUGAAGACACAAGAGAGAAGAACUCUCGCUGAGUAGGAGAGAGAGGGGGUUUUUGUUUUGGGAGAGAAGAAAACACAGAGAGGUGUCACUGGUUUAGAGAAGGGCUUCACAAAGAGGAACCGUUGGCUGAUCAGAAAGGGGUUCACAGGGAGAGGUCACUAGUUCAGAGAUGGGCUGCGUUAGUGAGAGUUUUUCGGAGAGCUUUGGUGCUUCAGUUUGAGAAGAAGGUUCAUCCUCGAACAGGCGGUAGAUCUUGCUCUGUGAUCAAUUUUCAGUCAGGCUCUGUGACAUAUUUCAGCUCCAAACAAGAUAUGCUGCUAUGCUGAAUCUUUCCUCUCUGUUUUGCUUUCUUUCUUUUUUCCGUUUGUCUCUUUAUUAAUUCUCUAAUGAUGCUACCCUAUCCCUAAUGUUAAGGACAUCCGAUUGUCUUUUUUGCUGAAUCCCAAUAUUUCUUGAUGUUCUUCAGUAAGCCUAAUGAUGCAUGUCUCCUUUUUUUUUUUUCUUUUAAAAGUAUGAUGGAUCUUGUAUUCUUCCUUUCCCAUUUAACUCCCUGGAUUCAUUCUCAUCGUUACUUGAUGCAGCCUUGUCCUUUUAUUAUGUGCUAAAUAGUUCAUGAUUAGAAUUACAAUGGUUUCUUGUAUGGUCUCUACCUGUUUCUAGCUUAGGACUAGCAUUAAGCCAAUAAGAACACAUAUUCCAGGGUUAUGUUUCAGCCUGCAGCGGUUCUUUUUCCUUGGGAAUCAAGGCUACCGAAUGGUAUUUAUUUCCAUUAGUUCUGCUUUGGCCAGCAAGGUGGUCAGCCAAGAAAAGCUGCCAUUGUUUGGGUAUUCUCUUAACCUUGGGCAGCAAGUUGAUGUGUUGACGAAGAGGAUCGAUUGGUAGUCUAUAGAGUUGAUUUUGGUUUCCUUUCUUGUUAACAGUGUUUGGAAGUCUUUGUUUCCUAUUUACUUUAUUUACUUUGAGCUUUAAUCUUCUUGUAUAAGGGAGAAAUCUGCUAGAGGCUUUCUUUCUUAUCAUCAGUCUUUGAAGACCAACAUCAAGCCCAUCGGUUGCCGUUACUUCUGAGAUUUUCCAGACCAAAUCCAAGACCUGCGGUUCAGGUUUUCCUCUAGAAACUGAGGCAACUUCGAGUGUACAGAUCUCAGCCCAACACUAUCAGUUUAAGCUGGAUUUUAGAGUGGUUGUUCAGGUCACUAGAAGCUGUCUUUGACCAGGGUUGGAGUCCCUUAUGGAGCUUCCACAUGUAGUUCUUGAAGGUUUCCUAUUUCAUGAUCUUAGUCAAGAACUUAAAUAUUUCAACGAUAAACUACCAACUCAGGCUAUGCUUUGUGGAAUUUUAUCAAGGUUUAAUUAACCCACAUGCGAGUAUGCAACCCAGAUUUCAGCUCCACCUGGGCUCUCUUUUAUUUUUGGAGUUCUUGGGUUUCUUUGAUGUGAUCUCUGUGUUCAAUUUAAGGUAAACAGAAUUCUGUCUAGAUUGUUAGCUUGUUAUUCUAGGGAUAAUUACCCACUAUUAGAAAGGUUUAAUUAGUGUUUAAAGUCCCAGAUGUUGUCCGAUCAUUGAUGUUCUGUUCUCUAUCUUGUUUGCUAGUCUUGAGGUCCUGAUUUGUCCUAGCUGAUUGGUUUUGUUUUGUUUCUUUUUACUACUGUUUGGGGAUUAGUCUUACACUGAUAUCAGUGCCUAUUGGAGAGAUUUUGGGAGUUGGGCAUUCAUACCUGUCCUUACAUUACCAAGUCCCCAACAUAGAACAGCAAACCAUAUGAUUGUUGUUAUUGAAUUUAUUUUUAAAAUUGAUUUCUAAACCUGUCACUGCAAUUCUGGUUUUCAAUCGAGUUUCUGAACCUAAUCUUUCAGGCUUCUAGAAACCCAUAAAAAAACCUAUUACCCCCACUCAUCUACAGUUUCAAGUACUCAAUCAACAUACCACACAUGAGAACUUGAUCACAACCCAUAUGAAUAUGUGCAACCUCAUCUAGAUUUACCUUGGGUACCAUGGUAUGUCUUAGAGUGUCUUCUCUUUUCCUUCAGACCAUGUAAACAAAGGCUCCAAAUUGAAUUCUAAUGGUUUCCAUAGAUUGGGUAUCAGGCAUCUUGAUUUUUCAAUUGCUCAAUCUCAAAACAUGGAGGUUAUCCAAGGGUAUUUUUGAGAUAUUUCAAUCACAGCUUUAAUCUAAUCAAAAUAAUUAAUUUUUUAUUUUUUAUUUUUUAUUUUUUUUUGGGGUACAAGAUAAACAAGUCUUACCAUGAACUAUAACUAAAUCAUGGCAUAAAGCUGUAACGACUUGCCAGCUUAUGCUCAACUGCUCUUGCGUCUGAUGUAUACUGCUCCCUUUGCUUGUAUGCCUCAAACGGAUAACAUAGUUUCUGAUUCUCAAGUGUUAAGUGUACUUCUAAAAAGCCACAUAAUUUAUCUCAAACCUGAAUGCAUACACAGAAAACAUUUCUUAUUCUACAAAAGCAUGACAUUAUAAAGAAUACAGUUAUUCUAUGAGGAGAUAACUAAAAAGCAAAAGCAGGUCCCUAAGGUGCUGAGAUAUGAACAAGAAGUUAUCUGAUCUUAUUAAAUAUUGAAGAAUCAAUUACCAAAGAGAUAUACCAAGAAGCAUUAACAUUAAAAGCAGAAGUGAUUAGUAUAUUUGUACUUUUAUUCUUGUUAUAUUUGCUGCUAACCCGUGUCUAUCUGGUCAAUUCUAUAAAUGAUAUUAACAGCUAUCAAGAUUAUCUGGUAUGCAACUACACAUUCUUCAUUUUGUUGUUUUUGAACAUCUUUUCCUUUAUCUCCUUUUAUUUGAUAUGAGUAACUUGGCUUGCAUCACUACUCCCCUUGCACCCUUCUGGAGCACCUUUAGUUUCUUAUUUCUCUUUGCAUAUACAACACUAGAGCUUCCCAACCAAAGUUUUGGAUGACCUUUUAUACUUGAAAGUGGCUUAUUCCUUCUUAGCAAUAACAUAUCAUUGGCUCCAACAA